AUUGAACGCUGGCGGCAUGCUUUACACAUGCAAGUCGAACGGUAACAGGGAGCUUGCUCCGCUGACGAGUGGCGAACGGGUGAGUAAUGCGUCGGAACGUGCCGAGUAGUGGGGGAUAACGCAGCGAAAGUUGUGCUAAUACCGCAUACGUACUGAGGUAGAAAGUGGGGGACCUUCGGGCCUCACGCUAUUCGAGCGGCCGACGUCUGAUUGGCUAGUAGGUGAGGUAAAGGCUCACCUAGGCGACGAUCGGUAGCGGGUCUGAGAGGAGGGUCCGCCACACUGGGACUGAGACACGGCCCAGACUCCUACGGGAGGCAGCAGUGGGGAAUUUUGGACAAUGGGCGAAAGCCUGAUCCAGCCAUGCCGCGUGUCUGAAGAAGGCCUUCGGGUUGUAAAGGACUUUUGUCGGGGAGGAAAUCCCCAGCGCUAAUACCGCUGGGGGAUGACAGUACCUGAAGAAUAAGCACCGGCUAACUACGUGCCAGCCGCCGCAGUAACAC
rnacentral:rRNA from 1 species